rnacentral:lncRNA from 1 species
ACUCAGACAUUUUCAGUCUGUCAUAGAGGUCUUCCCUGGGUCAGCCUGGAGAGAAAAACGUCAGCCAUUGCAAGCUACUACUAAGCUCAUUUUAGCACAGUGACCCAUGGAUUUCCUCCACUGUGUACCCUGCUAACAGGAAGCCGAGGCUAAGAGAAGUGGCCCUAUCUCAGUUGUGUAGGGCAGGGCCCUAGGCUCUGUCUAAAUAUCCAUAAGCUGGUUUCCUUCAACAUUUGCCUCUGUCCUGAGCAAUGGGGAAGCUCUGAAAAUCUUUUUCCUCUGGGCACUCCAUAUGAGCUCAGGAAGUGCCUCACAUACAGAGUGGGGGUUAGUUACUCACAGGAGCCUGCCACACAAGGCUUAACUGUUGUUUAGCCCCAGAGCAAACGUCCAGCCACUGGGAAUGAACUCUGGCUUAUGAGCUUCUGGGCUGCUUCAUCCUACUACUCUCCCUCCACUGGACAUGUGUUUAAAGCUCAAGAGGAGAGAAGAGGUGAAUGAUAGAAUUCUUGGUGCUCAAGACCAACUCAUCUCCUGGGAAGCCCUGACUCCUUGAAUUUCUGCCUGAGUGAGAAACAACAUUCAUUGUUGGUAGCAAGGUAAGCCUUCAGCUCUGUUUGCUAUUGAGUGGGAUCUAAAUGAAUUGGUGGAUUCUGUGCUGGUUAGCUUUUUGUCAGCUUGUCACUAUAUGGGGUCAUCUGAGAAGCAGAAACUUCAGUUGAGAAUAUGCCUCCAUCAGCUUAGCCUGUAGACAAUCUGAAGUGCAUUUUCUUGAUUAGUGAGUGAUGUGGGAGGGCCCAGCUUACUGUGUGCUGUGCCAUACCUGGGAAGGUAGGCCUGGGUUGUAUAAGAAUGCAGAAGUGCCCUUCCAGUCAGUGCCAGCUCCGGGCCACCUUGGGCUCCAACUUGGCAGAUGGUUCCAUGGUCCCCAGAGGACUCUCCAUGCUGCAGUCCCCCUAGCAUGUCCAGGAUCUUAGGAUAACUGGUGAGUGGAAUGCAACAUCUAUUUCAAAACAAUGGAGAGGGGCCUGUGACAGCAGAAGCAAUGACACAGGAGCCCUGCCUGACCAGCGACUUGGGUUCCCUUCUGGUCAGAGCUGGUAUACCUUGGUUUUGAACACAGCAGACAGCCUCACGGUCCCCAGAAGAGACACCACUUCCAGGUGCUGUAACAUGCCCAGGAUCUAAGGUUCCAGGAUACCAGGAUACCAGGACACCAGGAGCAUGAUCACAAGAGGAUCUCAGAGUCUCAGAGGAAGCUUGACUGCCAAAAACUCUGACACACCCAGAAUCUCAGGUUCACAGAAUACUAGAAUCACUGGAUCACAGAGAAAGCUGGACUCUGAAGAGUCCUGAAUCAACCAGGAUAAUAGGAAGGACAGGCUCCAAUCAGAUAUAUUGAGGGCAGGGAGCACUUGAGAUAAUCAGAUGGCAGGAAGUAAUCAUAAGAACAGAAGCAACAGAAACCAAGGUUACUUGGCACUGUCAGAACCAAAUUCUCCCACUUUAGCAAGUCCUGGAUGCACCAUCACACCAGAAAAGCAAAAUAUGGAUCUAAAGUCACUUCUCAUGAUGAUAAUGGAGGACUUUAAGAAGGAAAUAAACAACUCCCUUAAAGAAAUACAGAAGAACACAUUCAAUCAGGUGAAAGAAUUGAACAACACCAUCCAGGAUCUAAAAAUAGAAAU